UAUCACUGUUAAGUAUAUAUUUAGAAUAUUUAUAUAUUUUUAUUUUUUAUUACAGAUUGUUUGUAGCUUGAAGGAAUUAAAUAAGUACAGGCAAUAUCUCACCAACUUAAAAUUAGACUUUGAAAGAAACUAUAUAAGAGAACAAAAAAUGCUUGCAAAACAACUACAGAAACUGGAGGAAAACAAUAUAGUCCCUGAGUGUGCUGAUGUUACACAGUUCCAGAAUUGGCUGUUUCAUGAGGGCACCCAAUCUGUAACGGACCAGGAGCGGUUAAUAAGGCACAGGUAAUACUCAGGUCAAUGUGUACUUCAUAUGUAUGUAGUAAACUAGGAUAACCUGGAACAUGUUGGAAAGGACCAAGUAAGGAAAUUUCUCUGUACCCCUUAAAGUGGAGAGAAUGAAGGGAGACCAAGGGGGACAGGAAUUGGGAAACUUGGUGUCUAUCGGGAAAGGGUAGGGGGACAUUACCAGAGACCCCUGCAGUGGUCCUGGUCUUCUGCAAACCACUAUGAUGUCCUCGGAAUAAGAAAGUGGGACAGAGACUUAAGAGAAACUGAGUCUUGGGCCCAUCUAAGCUGCUCUGGGCAGCAAAAACAGAGGACUCCCAGGACAUCCAGUGUUUAUUCAUUACAAGCCUGGGAAGCGGGG
rnacentral:lncRNA from 1 species